AUUGAACGCUGGCGGUAUGCCUUACACAUGCAAGUCGAACGGCAGCAUGGUAUAGCCUGGCUGUUACAUGGCGCGAGUCGAAGAGGUGUGUGGUAUAUCUGGACGUGUACUGUUUCGGGGGGGAACACGUAGGGAAAUUUGCUCAUAUAGCGCAUGACAUCUGCGUGUGAAAGCAGGACCGCAUGGCACCUUGCUCGAGUGACUGCGCCGAUGUCGGAUUAGCUAGUUGGAGGGGUAAAGGCCCACCAAGGCGACGAUCUGUAGCUGGUCUGAGAGGAUGAUCAGCCACACUGGAACUGAGACACGGUCCAGACUCCUACGGGAGGCAGCAGUGGGGAAUAUUGGACAAUGGGCGAAAGCCUGAUCCAGCAAUACCGCGUGGGUGAAGAAGGCCUUCGGGUUGUAAAGCACUUUUGUUCGGAAAGAAAAGGCGCUGGUUAAUACCCCGCUGCUAUGACGGUACCGAAAGAAUAAGCACCGGCUAACUUCGUG
rnacentral:rRNA from 1 species